rnacentral:antisense_RNA from 1 species
CUUCAACGACCCCAACAGCAGCGGCCGCUCCGCCGAACGAUCCCGGCCGUAGGUGGCGAGCAACGCCUGGGCCUC